rnacentral:rRNA from 1 species
CACCGGCAGCCCAAGUGGUGGCCAUUUUUAUUGGGCCUAAAGCAUCCGUAGCUGGCUACGUUAGUCCCCUGUUAAAUCCAACGAAUUAAUCGUUGGAUCGCGGGGGAUACUGCUUGGCUAGGGGACGAGAGAGGCAGACGGUAUUUCCGGGGUAGGGGUGAAAUCCUAUAAUCCCGGGAAGACCACCAGUGGCGAAGGCUGUCUGCUAGAACGCGCCCGACGGUGAGGGAUGAAAGCUGGGGGAGCGAACCGGAUUAGAUACCCGGGUAGUCCCAGCUGUAAACGAUGCAGGCUAGGUGUUUGGGCGGCCACGUGCCGUUCUAGUGCCGCAGGGAAGCUGUUAAGCCUGCCGCCUGGGGAGUACGAUCGCAAGAUUGAA